rnacentral:rRNA from 2 species
UAGGGAAUCUUCGGCAAUGGACGAAAGUCUGACCGAGCAACGCCGCGUGAGUGAAGAAGGUUUUCGGAUCGUAAAACUCUGUUGUUAGAGAAGAACAAGGACGUUAGUAACUGAACGUCCCCUGACGGUAUCUAACCAGAAAGCCACGGCUAACUACGUGCCAGCAGCCGCGGUAAUACGUAGGUGGCAAGCGUUGUCCGGAGUUAUUGGGCGUAAAGCGAGCGCAGGCGGUUUCUUAAGUCUGAUGUGAAAGCCCCCGGCUCAACCGGGGAGGGUCAUUGGAAACUGGGAGACUUGAGUGCAGAAGAGGAGAGUGGAAUUCCAUGUGUAGCGGUGAAAUGCGUAGAUAUAUGGAGGAACACCAGUGGCGAAGGCGGCUCUCUGGUCUGUAACUGACGCUGAGGCUCGAAAGCGUGGGGAGCAAACAGG